AACGCACAUUGCGCCCUUUGGUAUUCCGAAGGGCAUGCCUGUUCGAGCGUCAUUAUCACCCCUCAAGCCCCGUGCUUGGUGCUGGGGCCGGUCUGGAGUCAGACCGCCCCGAAAGACAAUGACGGCGGCCUCGUGAACCCCCGGUACACUGAGCUUCUUCGGAGCACGUAUCGGCCUCAAGCGGUCUGCGAGCCCCGGUCAAUACUUUUUCUCUCAAGGUUGACCUCGGAUCAGGUAGGAAUACCCGCUGAACUUAA
rnacentral:misc_RNA from 1 species